UGGAACGUAGUUCAGUGGUAGAACAGCUGGCUUAUAUCCAGCGUGUCGCAGGUUCGAUUCCUUCCGUUCCGA
rnacentral:tRNA from 1 species